GGUCGCUUAGCUCAGUUGGUUAGAGCGUCGCAUUGACAUUGCGGAGGUCAGUGGUUCAAAUCCACUAGCGAUCA
rnacentral:tRNA from 1 species